GACGAACGCUGGCGGCGUGCCUAAUACAUGCAAGUCGAGCGGAGCGGCGGACGGGUGCGUAAUGCCUAGGCAUCUGCCUGGUAGUGGGGGAUCCCGUCCGGAACCGGGCGCUAAUCCCACAUACUAUCAGAUGAGCCUAGGUCGGCUUAGCUAGUUGGUGGGGUAAAGGCCUACCAAGGCGACGAUCCGUAACUGGUCUGAGAGGAUGAUCAGUCACACUGGAAGUGAGACACGGUCCAGACUCCUACGGGAGGCAGCAGUGGGGAAUAUUGGACAAUGGGUGGAAGCCUGAUCCAGCCAUGCCGCGUGUGUGAAGAAGGUCUUCGGAUUGUAAAGCACUUUAAGUUGGGAGGCGUUACCAACAGAAUAAGCACCGGCUAACUUCGUGCCAGCAGCCGCGGUAAUUC
rnacentral:rRNA from 1 species